UACGAAGGGGGCUAGCGUUGCUCGGAAUCACUGGGCGUAAAGGGUGCGUAGGCGGGUCUUUAAGUCAGGGGUGAAAUCCUGGAGCUCAACUCCAGAACUGCCUUUGAUACUGAGGAUCUUGAGUUCGGGAGAGGUGAGUGGAACUGCGAGUGUAGAGGUGAAAUUCGUAGAUAUUCGCAAGAACACCGGUGGCGAAGGCGGCUCUCUGGGACGGUACUGACGCUGAGACGCGAAAGCGUGGGGAGCAAACAGG
rnacentral:rRNA from 1 species